ACCCAAAAAGAAAAGAACCCAGCAAAAAGGAGGUCGUUGAUGAAGAAAAAAGCAAUAUAAAAAAUUGUACUAAAAAUGAAAUUCCAAUAAUAAAAGAAGACGAUGAAAGAGGUAUAACGAGAGGACAAUAAAAAAUUUCAAUGAUUAAGAGAAGACGCGCUAAAAAGAAUUCUGGUAACAAAAAGAUAUAGAGAAGGGGGCGUGGUAAAAAGAAACCAUUGCGACAAUUAAUAAAAAUUAAAAGACACCAAAAAAUAAAUAGCAAUUUAAAAAAACAGUGACAAACUCAAAAUUUCAAUAAGUAAAAAACACCAAAGAAAGAAUUUCCACAAAAAGAUAUCAGUGAGUAAGAUAUCAAUGGCUCUUACGAAGCGGUCUCUCCACUGAUUUUGUUCUACUCUGUGUACGACUGCUGGACGAAUAAGAUAAAGGAGCAAGGUAAGAGGGGUAAGUGGUUGGAGUAGUGUGAAACGAGUCUCACAGUCAAAAAUAAAAGUUUAUUAAUUCCAUGCCGAUUUUGAAGAUAAUUAAAAGUUCAGAAUGUCUUCGCGACGCUCUUUUGAUCCGGACAGUUACUUAGUUGCAAAUAAUAUACCUGACUUCAGCAAAUUUUCCUAUUUCGUAAACCAAUUUAAUUUGCACCCUCCAUGAAAAAAUGUUUCAAUAUGAACAUAAAUAACCUAAGAAACAGUAUAUUGAGUCAAAUAUCAUUACUAAGGUUCUUCAUUUGAUUUCUGACUAAUAAUUCUUAAAAAAGCGUACCCAUGUGAGGUGCUUGGGUAGCACUGAAUGUGUUAAUGUAAUUUAAACAUUGUAAUUGUACUGCUAUGUAGUUUUGUAAAAAUGAGUGAACAUAGCUGUAUGAAAUGUAUGAAAGCUAUUCAGCUGGCUUUUUUGCUCAUCAAACUGUUAUGUACUUAUUACACUUACUGUAAACUGUAAGUAUUAAAGUAGCUGCUUGGUUGUAAAUUUACAGACUAAACAAUAAAAUAACGAAUCUUCUGAAAAGAA